rnacentral:rRNA from 1 species
AUUGAACGCUGGCGGCAGGCCUAACACAUGCAAGUCGAACGGUAACAGGAAGAAGCUUGCUUCUUUGCUGACGAGUGGCGGUCGGGUGAGUAAUGUCUGGGAAACUGCCUGAUGGAGGGGGAUAACUACUGGAAACGGUAGCUAAUACCGCAUAACGUCGCAAGACCAAAGAGGGGGACCUUCGGGCCUCUUGCCAUCGGAUGUGCCCAGAUGGGAUUAGCUAGUAGGUGGGGUAACGGCUCACCUAGGCGACGAUCCCUAGCUGGUCUGAGAGGAUGACCAGCCACACUGGAACUGAGACACGGUCAAGACUCCUACGGGAGGCAGCAGUGGGGAAUAUUGCACAAUGGGCGCAAGCAUGAUGCAGCCAUGCCGCGUGUAUGAAGAAGGCCUUCGGGUUGUAAAGUACUUUCAGCGGGGAGGAAGGGAGUAAAGUUAAUACCUUUGCUCAUUGACGUUACCCGCAGAAGAAGCACCGGCUAACUCCGUG